UGUUGCCUACGGGGGGCAGUAGUGGGGAAUAUUGCACAAUGGGGGAAACCCUGAUGCAGCGACGCCGCGUGAGUGAAGAAGUAUUUCGGUAUGUAAAGCUCUAUCAGCAGGGAAGAUAAUGACGGUACCUGACUAAGAAGCUCCGGCUAAAUACGUGCCAGCAGCCGCGGUAAUACGUAUGGAGCAAGCGUUAUCCGGAUUUACUGGGUGUAAAGGGAGCGUAGACGGUGCAGCAAGUCUGAUGUGAAAGGUCGGGGCCCAACCCCGGGACUGCAUUGGAAACUGUUGAACUGGAGUACAGGAGG
rnacentral:rRNA from 1 species